AAACGAAUGAUCCCCUCCAGGCUUAUGCCUGUUGACAAUAAUGAGAAACAGAAACUUAGAGGGAGAGAGAGGAGAGGGGAGAAAGAGGCAAGUUGGGAGCGAGUGCAUUCAAUAAUUCGGUGUUCCAGCUGGAUUGCGGCCAUUUCGAGCCGGGACUCAGAAUGUGGAGGUUUGCUUAUAUACAAGAACAAAAAGCCUUUCCAACAUCAGCAGCUCACUCAGUGUGACGCCAUCUCCUCCUCUCAGCAUCUCAUUGUGCUGAUUCAUAGAGCAGAGUGAUGGUAAACGCAACUCUGGCACACAUCAAAGACAGCAGAUGGCUUGCCAUCAUUUUCCCAACUGCCCAAGAACCAGAAGGUGUCUGAAUGAGACUGUGCUGUGAUUACCCUUCAGAGGAAAACCACGCAGGAUGACAGCAGGCCAGAGGAGAGGCAGAAGCGAGGCAGGAUUGGUUUGGAGCACUCAGAAAAACAGUGUAAAUAAACAUGUCAAUGUCAGCUA